rnacentral:lncRNA from 1 species
AUCCCGGAUGGGUGCCGCUUCAUGCAAAGCACACGGUGGAUUUCGUCGAAGCUUUUGCUCGGAGCCCGGCGAAGUUCCAGGAGAAGGAGCAGAAAUUGGAAUUUCUCCACAGCAUCUGCACCCUGUGCCGGGACUCCAAACUCCGCGACUUCUCCGAGGAGCUGAGGGAUUUCUUCGGCAGGCUCAAGCUGGUGGAGACGGUGCAGCUGCUGCUGGAUUUGGAGCCCAAGUACGAGAUCAACGACCGCGUGCAGCGCCUCGCCAUGCUGGCUUUCGCCGAGCUCAGGUACCGACCCACAGGCUCCAUCCUCGCCUGCAGCCCGGUUCUGGGGCUCCGUGUGCUGGAAAAGUCUCUCCUCCAAGCC